GAUGAAGAACGUAGCAAAAUGCGAUAAGUAGUGUGAAUUGCAGAAUUCAGUGAAUCAUCGAAUCUUUGAACGCACAUUGCGCCCGGUAGUAUUCUGCCGGGCAUGCCUGUUCGAGCGUCAUUUCAACCAUCAAGCCCCAGCGCUUGUGUUGGGGGCCUGCGGCUGCCGCAGCCCCCUAAAAGCAGUGGCGGGCUCGCUAUCACACCGAGUGCAGUAGUUCAUCUUCUCUCCGGUCUUGUGAGGCGGGUUCCGGCCGUGAAACACCCCACUACAUUCAAGGUUGACCUCGGAUCAGGUAGGAAUACCCGCUGAACUUAAGCAUAUCAAUAAGCGGAGGA
rnacentral:misc_RNA from 1 species